CGCAGGAUUGUGGUGGACAAUAAAUCGACACUAGCGUACAAGGACGUCUUUGUUUACUGAGGUAGAAAGACACGCCUCGAGUAUUUCACUAAUCUAGUGAUGUGAGCAGAUCACAUUUUUCCAUCGCUAAAACUGUUCAAGUGAACAAGUUAUAUAAAAAAAAAAGAGUGGUUCAAGUCAGUCUCUUCACAAUAACAUGAAAAUGUGUCCCUAAAGAAACAGGCAAACUUGGCGUAAGGGCGGGUGAGAGAAGCAUAACGAUGGAGGAAUAUAAACAUGUUUUCGUCAUAUCUAAGUCAUAAUAUUUGCAGAAUUAGUGCGCGUUCAGUUCAUUGGAAAUGGGUGUGGUAUAGAAACUACUAGCAAGAAAAAUCAAAAAGGCGAUGCUGAUGGUGGAUUUAUAAUCCGGCAAGGUCUUCGCAUUUCGCAAGGAAACAUAACCGAAUAACGUCCGAAUGCAACGGAAUCGGAACUAAAACAAUACUUUCCACUUCGAGCACUGUGCGAGCACGGGAAGUUAACGGUCUGCCGUAAACAGGGACACUCAUUUCAUUUAAGCACGUCAUCCAACAGUGGUAACGGUAUAUGAACAACGAUGGCAACUACGAUGAGUCACACAAUGUGAUUACAAUGGCACGAGUGCCUCAUGAGCUCCGAAAUUAAUUUCCGCUCUACUAAAAAUCCAAAGGGUGUUCUCCAUCGAUGCAUUAAGUAAACAAAGUCACAUUUGCGCUUCGAUUGUUGGCAAUGAUGAAAAUAUUGCAUCAAUGGCACACUACGGGCAUCAAAAAGCCAAUAUGCCGUAGACAUUUUUAGUGUCUGGAAUUAAUAAACAAAAUAAACACAAGGUGCACCGGUGACCAACGAACGGCUGUAAUUUGCAUGGGCAAUAAAUAACGGCGCGGCGGAGAUAGCAUCGCGCCCUGUUCGCUUCACUCGCACUAUCAUAUAAUAACUUAUACGAGCUAGCUACUAUCACUAGUUGAACGCCCUGUCUUGGCACCGUUUACGCGAUCCAACAGACGAGUUAUCACAAUAAGUUUGUUUUCUCCGCUGUGUUGCCUUUUCAGUUAAAAGAAAACCUUUAAGAGUAAAUUUUGAAAUCUAACAAUUACAGACUGGAAAUAUUCUAACUACAAUCCGAAUGCCCCUGAAAAGCCCAACGGCAGUAUUUAAUAUCAAAAUACAUACUCUACAUCCCUUAAUUAGCAAUGAAGAAUUUGAAAUAAGUUGAUUAUUUUACCAUCUUAUUUUUUUUUAACUAACAUGCUAAUUAUUUACUACAUGAGGAAUUUUGAUGCAGUUUUUUAUAUUUUAUAAGGGACAAGCAUAUCCCAGGCCCCAGUCAUACACAGCCAGACUAGUAAUGUGAUAAACAAACAACCACAUAUAGAAGGGAAUCCGAACUAAUCAGUUUUAUGAAGCCCUUUGUUGACUUGUGAGUAAACAACGUGAGUCAAGAAUAAUAACUUAUUUAUAGAAUGAAAUAUAUUGUGGUUUUAAUAUCGUUGGGUUUUAUACUUCAAUAAAUUUCAACUACAAAACGCUGGACUUUAUCCUAAUUGCACAACAAUGCACUGGAAUUUAAGUCCCAAUAAAAGAUGGCUGAUUCCAGAAGAAUGCAGUCUCAUCAUUUUUUUUUUCACACAAUGGCCUGAUUGUCAAUAGGAAAUGGAGCCCUUCCUUGUUAUGGCAAUGCUCUAUUCAACAGCCGUAUUAUGAAAAUACGACAGAUGAGCCGUGCUGCCAUGUCGCGCGACGCCGUGGCAUUUGGUAAACAUGCAAGAAGACCCAUAUGCGCUCAAGUUACUUUAGCGCAUGAUUCUACUUAUUUUCUGAUUCAGAUAUGAUAUUACCUAGCUAGACUUGCGAGUCCAGGAGUGAAUACUCAUUACAGUAUUAAAAAGUUACAGCUUACAAUCCUAGUUAUCUUUACUGAACAAUGCAAACUGCAAUAUGCAAUACAACACAAACAAACGUAAUUCGUACCUAAUGUAAAGAAGAACCCUUAUAAAAAUCAAGCAGCCCCCAUGAAUUGGCACGCGCUUUUGUUCAACACAAGGGUGUUAAAAUAACUUAUUCUCCUGUGAUUAAUAAAGUGUAACAACAUCAACAAAAGCCGAGCGAUGUGUAUUUAUUUACUGCCGGAAGACCACUACCGGGACUCAGCGUUACGACCGAGUAACCAAGUAUUAAAAUAGCAUUAAUAGAGGAACUUGCUAAUGAUUUUUUUAAUUUGCAUUUAUUGUUGUAGUAAGUAUAAAUAAUUCAUGUAAAUUGUAGAUUUCAAAUUCUAUAUAAAAUAGAACACACUUUCACAGACUCAAAUUCGUAUUCUAGUUAGGUAUACAAUAAACGCCAUCGAAUAUCUAAUGAAUAAACAGAAUAAAAAUCGAAAAUGUUAUUGGUGUUUAAUUUUUAAGGACAUUGUGACAAAGGACAUCUAUGGACAAAACAUUGAUGGUCAUACAUUUAACAAUUUGAGAGUUUAAUGAUAUUUUCAAAGAUAAUAAACAUUUUGAGAAGUAAACAUAAUUAUUAAGUGUUGCGUCUUUCGGUUGUAACUUUCAAUAAAAGACGCUUGUAUUUAGACAAAAUCGUAAGGGAAGAUGCCGUCACGAGUCUUCAAUGAACUAAGUGUCGCGAUAUCGUCGUUAACAAUGGCGGCUCAAGUUUGGUUAGCACGGAUAUAGCACCACUUUGAAUUAUAAUGCGCAUUGUUUCUCGCGCCCGCCCGGCUCGGGUGCAAUGCACUACGACGCAAUACUUACUUGUCAUAGAAAUCGGCUGUUUCCAGUCGGAUGAGCUCGAGGCGCAAGGUCGUAAUGCCCGAAUCAAUGAUAAACCAAACUAAUCAGAAUUUUGCAUUAAUAACACGACUGUGAGGACCAGCUAUAAAUUUUAUAAUGUUUCCCCUGAUUUUUUGUUUAAUUUUAUUUUUUAGGGAACUGGUCUGUGAAUUCUGAGAUUACUAUCGAAUUUCUUUUUAGCAUCGAGGUUCAAAACAGUAAAAUUUUAAUUUAAGUAACUUCAAAAAGUCAAUUUUAGAAAUAAGAAUGGCUCUACUUCAGUGGCAUCAAAAGAAAUGAGAUCUUUUCCUAAUUUUGAGAAAGUUACAUUGAAUGAUAAACGCGAGGAAAAUCAACACUUUGUUGGACACCUUUUAUGUGAGCCAACUUUUUCAAUGAUACGAUAAAUUCAUUUUAUUGGUUUACACCUCGUUAAUUAAUUACCAGACACUGAUUUUAUUAGUAAACAGUGCAAAGUAUACUUUUUUGGUUUCAUAUAAAGUAUAAAGCCACUUAAUUGCGAUUUUUUUCGCCCAUAAAUAACAGUUGCUGCUUUUUAUUUUCACUUAUUAGUACGAUUAAGUAGGACAUUGAAUUAGCAAUAACCCUGUAUGUUUAGAAAAAGAUGGAAUACAUUUUUUGCACUUGGUUUGGGGUAUUGUUACGAUAACACGUGUUUACGACAUGAUGUGCAAAGAUAUUAUGGAUUAGUGUGAAAAAAAAAAGACCGUUAGGAAGAACAACGCGUGAAUCGUGCGAGCGCCCUCGUACCAGUUGUAAUAACACGUGUGCAUGAUUUCACAUUAUAGCUUUUAAUUUGCUCGUCGGAAGACCAAUGCCUCGACCUAAUUGUAAAUCGAAACUAUUUUUAUACACUCGCAUUAU